rnacentral:rRNA from 1 species
AGACUGUACUGCACUCGAGCGAACACAGAAGGAGCUUGCUCCUUCGACGUUACCGGCGGACGGGUGAGUAACACGUGGGCAACCUACCUUAUAGUUUGGGAUAACUCCGGGAAACCGGGGCUAAUACCGAAUAAUCUGUUUCACCUCAUGGUGAAACACUGAAAGACGGUUUCGGCUGUCGCUAUAGGAUGGGCCCGCGGCGCAUUAGCUAGUUGGUGAGGUAACGGCUCACCAAGGCGACGAUGCGUAGCCGACCUGAGAGGGUGAUCGGCCACACUGGGACUGAGACACGGCCCAGACUCCUACGGGAGGCAGCAGUAGGGAAUCUUCCACAAUGGGCGAAAGCCUGAUGGAGCAACGCCGCGUGAGUGAAGAAGGAUUUCGGUUCGUAAAACUCUGUUGUAAGGGAAGAACAAGUACAGUAGUAACUGGCUGUACCUUGACGGUACCUUAUUAGAAAGCCACGGCUAACUACGUGCCAGCAGCCGCGGUAAUACGUAGGUGGCAAGCGUUGUCCGGAAUUAUUGGGCGUAAAGCGCGCGCAGGUGGUUUCUUAAGUCUGAUGUGAAAGCCCACGGCUCAACCGUGGAGGGUCAGUGGAAACUGGGAGACUUGAGUGCAGAAGAGGAUAGUGGAAUUCCAAGUGUAGCGGUGAAAUGCGUAGAGAUUUGGAGGAACACCAGUGGCGAACGCGACUAUCUGCUCUGUUAAACUGACCACCUGAGGCGCGAAAGCGUGGGGAGCACACUAGGAUCAGAUACUCCUGGUAGUCCACGACGCAAUCGAUGACUGCUAGUGUAUAGAGGUUUC